rnacentral:lncRNA from 1 species
CUUUUUUUCUCCUUCUGGCACAUUUUUCAUUUUCAAGACCCCACGUCCUCCAUAUAUGCUUUCCUGGCCCACCCAUUUCCCUCCUCCCCUUACACAGAUGGAGAACUUCCUUUCUGGUGUUCUCUCAGCACUCAGCACAGAUUGCUAGUGCUUUUAUGUGCUGAGCCUUUCCCUUCAACCUGGACUGAAAGAGGAUGGCAAUCUCGCUGAAGCUGUUUCUUUUUCUUCACAACAUAUAGGAAAGUGUUGCCCCUUUUUGGAAGUGGUGCAUAGGACGAUGACUAUAGAUUUUCAUCUGUUACUCCUAAAACCUUACUCAAAAGUAACAACCUCCACCGACCCUACUUGAAUCAGUACUGAACGAAUGUCAGGUCCUUGGGAAAUUCUCCAAUCCUGUCUCCUGUCCUGGCCAGGUGUGCUCCUGGUGCACCAUUUGGCUAAGUCAAUUUGAACUAUUUGGGAGACCUUUGUACCUACGUUUCCUUCUGCUUGGAAGAUCCUUUCUGUUUUGUCAGCUCUUACUUCCGUGUUGUGGAAAACUGAUCUGACCUCCUAGUCCUGAAUCAGGGCCAUAAAGAAAAUUGAUGAGGACAACUGGCCUCCCAAUAUGUGGAUUCAGUUUCCGUAUGUCAAUUUACCAACUCCCACUGGUAGUCUGAAGAGAUAUGGCUACUGGAGAACAGAAAAUCACCAGUAUUAAUAAAAGCAAUUUUAAGUGUUUACCUUUUAGUAUUUGAAUAGCUUUGUUAAAGAGACGUACUCAAGAAUACUAUGAAGAGACUCUUAUUGUACUCCUUACCUGGAGAUAAUUGUGAUGCCAGAAAUUCAAAUUUAUAUUCAACAAUAUGGUUUUUCAACCAUCAAUAUUAUAAACAUCUAGGCAGUGUCUAUUGUUUGUGCAUUUGCCAUCCUCUAAAAUGAGAUUAUUCUAAGCAUAAAUUAUACUUCAUCAUUCAAGAUUAUAAACAUUUAUAAUAAUCACAAUAUUCACGGACAUUUCCCUGCUCUCAAAUCACUAGAGCUAAUAGGCAAAGUAGAUACAGCUACAAACAGUGGGAGAAAAUAUUUCUGGCUGACCUACAAAUAGCUGUGCAAUAAUGUAGAGAGGAAAAUAUAGUCUCACUUAUAGUGUCUGAAAUUGAGUUUCUCUCUUUAAAGGACAAAGUAAUUUUCAAAAAUAUUUGAGUAUUAUUCUGUGUAAAAAAUCUGUUUUAACUGGCUUAUUGAAUUGUGUUUCUUUAUUGUGUUUGUAUUCACUUUUCCAUUUGUGGGUGGAAUUUAUUAUAAUUACCAGUUUUAUACUGAAUGAAACAAAAAUCUCAUAGAUUUAA